rnacentral:rRNA from 1 species
GUGCCAGCCGCCGCGGUAAUACGAAGGGGGCUAGCGUUGUUCGGAAUCACUGGGCGUAAAGCGCACGCAGGCGGAUCGUUAAGUCAGGGGUGAAAUCCCGAGGCUCAACCUCGGAACUGCCUUUGAUACUGGCAAUCUUCGAGUCCGGGAGAGGUGAGUGGAACUCCGAGUGUAGAGGUGAAAUUCGUAGAUAUUCGGAAGAACACCAGUGGCGAAGGCGGCUCACUGGCCCGGUACUGACGCUCAGGUGCGAAAGCGUGGGGAGCAAACAGGAUUAGAAACCCGGGUAGUCC